GGUAAGGUGGCCGAGCGUCAGGUAGCGGUUUGUAGCACCGUAAACAGAGGUUUAAUUCCUCUUCUUAUCA
rnacentral:tRNA from 1 species